GAUGAACGCUGGCGGCGUGCUUAACACAUGCAAGUCGAACGAUGAAGCUCAGCUUGCUGGGUGGAUUAGUGGCGAACGGGUGAGUAACACGUGAGUAACCUGCCCUUAACUCUGGGAUAAGCCUGGGAAACUGGGUCUAAUACCGGAUAGGAGCGUCCACCGCAUGGUGGGUGUUGGAAAGAUUUAUCGGUUUUGGAUGGACUCGCGGCCUAUCAGCUUGUUGGUGAGGUAAUGGCUCACCAAGGCGACGACGGGUAGCCGGCCUGAGAGGGUGACCGGCCACACUGGGACUGAGACACGGCCCAGACUCCUACGGGAGGCAGCAGUGGGGAAUAUUGCACAAUGGGCGCAAGCCUGAUGCAGCGACGCCGCGUGAGGGAUGACGGCCUUCGGGUUGUAAACCUCUUUCAGUAGGGAAGAAGCGAAAGUGACGGUACCUGCAGAAGAAGCACCGGCUAACCACGUG
rnacentral:rRNA from 1 species